CUCGUUCUGUGUCUCCCACACUCUCUCACACAGUCUCAAGCAGGAGAAGGAAGAAGAGGGAAGAGGAGCGAUGGGCUCCGCGAGAGAGGCCAAAGUGCAGAGGAGGGAGGAGUCAAAGCCUAACCCUUGCCCGACCCGUUGGGCGGCCGUCGGCACGGUGGAGGCCCCGGAAGCUGGCCCCUCCGCCGUCACCGUCGACGGCGCCGGCGAGGACCAGUGCCUCCGCCGAUCGGACGCGCUCUCCCGGGAGGAAGUCCUCCGCCGCCGCUCCCGCCGGGUGAGGCAGCUCGCUCGGUGCUACCGUCGACAGUACUGGGCCCUGAUGGAGGAGGUCCGGGUGAAGCAUCGAAACUACUACUGGGAGUACGGGGUCUGCCCCUUCGAGGUGGACGAUGGCGGUGGUGCUGAUGGGAGGGGGCGGGGGGCGGACGGGAACAAGGAGAACGGGAGGGCGGGGGCCCGGGAUGGGGAGGGUGGUGGAGGGAAGGGGGGGGAGAGGAAGCGGUGCGCGUUUGCAGGGUGUAAGUCUAAGGCGAUGCCCAUGACGAGGUUUUGCCAUCCACACAUAUUGGCGGACAGGGAGCAGACGCUAUACAAGGCGUGCAGUUAUGUGACAAAGAGCUGUGGGCAAAGUGGUCCAGUUACAUGUGGGAAGCCAGUUUUGAGAGCAACUGUACCUUCUCUCUGCCAUGUCCACUCUCAGAAGGCGCAAAGAAGCAUUUUGCAAGCCUUGAAAAGAGCUGGACUGAAUUUAGUCUCUUCCAGCAGGCCUGCCCCUAAAUUUAGUGUUUUACUUGCUGAAUGUGUUAAUCAGAUUCAAGCCAGAAGAAAAGAGUUGGAUGCGGCUGUGAAUGAUGUUGAUUAUAUUGAUGAGGAAGUUUGUUGAUGCAUGAUAUGGUUCAUAACUGCCUUGAGCCUCUGGUGGUGGCAGCGAACCUCAUUGACCUGAUCUGGUCAUCAUCUUGAUGGAAAAUGCAGUUCUGUUCAUGGAUAUGUAUUUCGAGUAUGACUGAAGGUAUAUUGCAGGUUUGUUAUGGUAGCAGCAUAUGAAGAUAGAUGGUCAUAGAUCUAAUAUAUAAUAAUCGAUUGCUUCGCGUCUUCCACCUUAACUUGUUUUGUUUCACACAUACUGCAGGCUUGUCAUGGGAGCAAGAUAUGAAGAUAGAUGGUCUUGGAUAUAAUUGGUGUAGAGACAAAUUUGUUGCAUGGAUAUAAUGAUUUGACUGCUGAUCAUCAUGGUAUUCAUUAUAUCCUUGGGUACAUUUGGUUUCUUAUUGUAUUUUGGUCGAUCUAAUGUCAGCACAACUCCAAUCAUGGAUCCUCCAUCGUAUUGCACCAUUCCAGAAUCUAGAUUCUAUGCGACUUUAUUGAAAAUUGGUGUCAAAUAUUAUUCAGUCAUCAUCAAAUAUUAUUCAGUCAAUAACAAGAUGUUGUGCUUCCGUUGGUUGA